GUCUAUGGCUAUACCACCCUGAGCACACCCGAUCUAGUCUAAUCUCUGAAGCUAAGCAGGGUUGGGCCUGGUUAGUACUUGGAUGGGAGAUCAUCUGGGAAUACUUUAGAGGUUAAUAAUC
rnacentral:rRNA from 1 species